rnacentral:lncRNA from 1 species
GAUUUACUUGUGAGAUUGGUAGGAAACAUCUUAAAUGUAAUCAAACAAUAACUUACAUCUUGAUGAAUUCACGUGUAGGUUUCUCUUCCUCAGAAGAAAUCAGAUGCUGUUCAGAGCACGAAGGCUAGAAUUUUACCCUGGUUCUCAUGCUACCUUGCACCCAGGUUGGAUCCUGAGUACAGUUUUUGGCAGGUGGGCCUGCAUAUAAGUUAGCAAUGGGGGAUACCCAGCUGCCUCUCUUCAUACAGCUGAGGUUUUGGGGAGUCAUUCUUAUAGCCCCUGGGUUGGGCCUAGUCCUGCAAAUGAAUUCACCAGCCCUAAAGCCCAAAUUGCAGCCUCUGUCAUUCACCUUCCAGGAGUGGAAAGGGCAGUAAGUUUCAUCUUAUUAUUAUUGCUAUUUUGGUGGUUUUGUUGAGGUUGGUGUGUGUAUGUUAGUAAGAUAAAGCUCUCAGAAAUUACAUAGCAUUUGUCAAGGAUAUAAGAGGGACUGUGCCACAUCUGGCUGUAUAGAAGGUGGUUCCAUAUCUUUAAAUAGAGCCCCAGGUCCUUAGCCACCAGAAAGGUUUUCAGGGGAAGUGUGCACCCUCAGCAGCUGCUGCUGGUGGGCAGGAUGGGCACGCAUGGAACAGGCUUUCCUCUGUGGCCAGGUGAGAAGCAGGUGGUGAGACACAGAGCAGUGCUGGGCUCUGCUUCUGAAGCCUCCAACCUUUCCUUCCCUAGGAAGCCCCAGAGAGAUUGGUGAGGGUGAUUUCCCAGGAAGACGCAGUGUGCUCUGACUUCUGUGACAGUGAGCAACGGGACCAGUGGAUGUCCAGAUGCUGGCAAUGAGUAGGCCUUCCCUACGCUGGGUGGCGUCCACACCCUCCGGCUUCCAUUGCCUGGGUCUCCUGGAGGUGGUUUGCUGGAUGAAUACCGCAUGCACAGAGGCUGGCCUUGGGUUUGAAUAUGGCAGCCAGUGGACAGCAUGUGCUUCAGUUAUGAGACUGCCCAGGAGAUGCUUCUUCCAAGGCAGAGCACGUGCAGAGUCCAGUGCUGGAGAGGCCGGGUGCGCAGUUGACCCAUUUCCAGUUCUGUUUUCCCUCUCAUGUUCCUCUGUCCCCAUCUAGGACAUGCUCUGGAGUCAGAAGACAGCGAAAAGAGAAGCAGAAGCCCCGGUGGCAAGAGUCUGAAGGAAGGAUGACUGUAGCCUGUGGAUUGUACUGCAGUAGGAAACUGUCCUAGCAAGGCUCCACUUUGCCCCAGCUUCAAGGUAUAUCGUCUCAAAAUGCAGGGGACUUCAGAUGAGUUUUGAGCACCCUUUCUUUUAUUAUAAAAAAAAUUCCAGACAGUUCAGCCAAUACUGACUAAGGGCUGAGACCAGUUCCAUGCUUUUCUGUCUCCAGAGGAAUUUGCUUCCAUCUGGAUGCCUGAAACGGUAUUUUACUUCACCUCCUGUGUCACCGGCAGCAGUCCUGGGAGCCCUGGGGAGGAGGUUUUUGGGAGAGCCAGCUCACAGCCUCUCCAUCACCUUUUAGCCACCCCAGUGCUGGGCAGCCAGGGUGUGGGCUUUUGACUGAAUGCACUUGCCCUCCUGCAUUCAUUACACCAUUGUCAGUGUGUGUGUCUGGGGCUGCCUCUGGGUGUGCAUGGUUUUUUUUGUGUCUGCGUGUCAGUGUCAGGCUAUGUGUGUCUGUUUCUGUCGGCCUGUCUAGGCGCGCUCAGUGCAACAAGGAGCUGGGGGAGGUGGCGGUAAAGAGGAAGGGCAUUUCAAAGCCCAGCUGUCCUCCUCAGGGACCUCAGGAGAUGCGUGUGUGUGUGUGUGUGUGUGUGUGUGUGUGUGUGUGUGUAUUUUUUUCCAUGCUGCUCAUUGUGUGGGGCUGCAUGCGAGUGUCUGACCAGGUGUGGUGUGAGCAGCCGCUGGGCUGGGUGAGCCCCAUCUGCCGUGAGCUCCCAGACUUGCCUUCUAGCCCUCUGCCGCCAUCCAUGGGGAGCCUCUCCCUUCGCAGCUCACCGUCUCUUCUCUAAUUUAUUAGCUGGAAAGGAGGAGAACAUGAAACAUUGCUUGAAGACAAUGGCCGAGACAGCAGGUCCCACCCUGCACAGCCACCAGCAUCUCUCCCCUCAGCCCUGUCUCCUCUUCUGCAGUUGGGAUCUGCACAUUUAAGCCUGAAAUUGUCCUGUGAAGUGAAGUAUGAUCGGACAGCCUCUUUUCAGCUUUUAUGACAAUGGAGACAGAGGAAUUGUGGCUCUUGCCAAGGUCACAGGAUUGGAAUACAGAGCCAAGCCACCCCAGGACAUGCAAGAGCCUCAGAAGGGAAAAAAGCCCAGCAGGAAGGGAGAACAAGUAGCCUCUGUCCUGAAGUUGUAACAGCCAGGGGCCAGGAUGGAGGAGGAGGACCCCAUAAUCUGCCCAUCUGGGACUUGGCAGGGGACCUGGGAAAAUGUACCCCAACCCAUCCCUUAAGGGCCUUUGUCUUUGGCCCAUUGGCCUAGCAUCUACUUCUUCACCGUGUCUGUUCUUGUCACACCUAGUCAGGUCUGUUUGGGUCUGAGGUGCAUGGAACAUUCUGGGUAGGCCUCCAGCAAACGGAAGCUCUUCACCGUGUUUCCAGCCUGGGACCAAGGGCAGCAUACUGGCAAAGUUGCCAAAGCAAGGGACUCCAGCCUCUUAGGAGUUAAUGACUCCCUCUCCCCAGCUGUCCUCCCCUUGGUGCUCCUCUUCCUCCCUCCUCCUGCUCACAGCAGGCAGGGCCUAGACCCGGGAGCCAUGCUGCUGUGCUGUUGCCAGGGGAGCACGGAGGCAGAUCUGAGCUAUGCAGGGAAAAGGCCCAGCCUGUCAAAGUGUCUGAGAUGAACCGCCGCCGUCCCUGUGCAGCUGGGCUCAGACGUGUCUCAGCUCUUGUUCUGUGCCUGAGAAUGGCGAAACCCAGUGAGGUUCAAGGGCAAACUCGCUAUUCAUUAGUCAGGGGUUCUUGACGUCCCGUCUCUCCCAGGGAUGAGUUCCCCCCUCCUCUUUCUCCCCCUCCUAUGACACAUUCCUGGGUGCCUUUGGUGAGGACUGCACACCCUCCUCCUGCCUAGCCCCCUCUCCAAAGGCCCCUGAAUAAACUCCCCCCAAGGAGACCAGGCAGGGCAGAGACAAUGGCUGCAGGAAAUCAUUCAGGCGGGACAUGCUGGCCUGCCCUCCACCCAGUCCCCCUGUGGGCCCCACUCCCUUCUGAUUCAGGGCACCCUUGGGCCCCCAGCCUAUACAGGCCUGGACAGGAAGAAACCACUGGGAACCACCCUAAGGACAACAUGCUAGUCCAGUGCCAUUCUUCGCUGGCUCUGUGGGUGCCUUUGUGGCCUGUACCGACUGGCUGGCUAAUUUUGUGGUUUCUGUACCAUCACAUGCCUAUUUUAAGACACUCUCCAGCACUGUCGGUUAGGGAGUGUAAAUUUUGCAAUAUUUUCUGAAAUGUGGCAAUAUCAAAAUGUAAAAGGCACACAUACUUGGUCACAAACAAAUGGCACUAUUUACUCUGUGGGCAUAUUUGUAAAAGUUGCCAAAGAAUUAUAUACAAGGAUGUUCAUCAGAGCAUUUCUUUUGAAGAGUAAAGAAAUGGACAUGAACCUGUGGUCCGUUCAUACGGUGGAAUACCUAUGCAGCUGUAAAAAUCAGUGUGGUAGAUCUCCGUAUAUGAGUUGAUGUGGAAGGUUGGCCAGUUCACAUGAUAAGGUGAAUAGAAUAAGUUACAGAACAGGCUGUAGAGUAUGAUCUUAUUUGUAGAUGUUUAAAACUGAGUCAUAAGUAUGCUUAUAUACAGAUCGUUUCUGGAAGUAUGUACUGGAAGUCUACCUCUGGGGAGUGGGGAUGGGGGAGUGCACUCUUCUAUACUGUUAUAUUUUCUUUUCAUGCUCCUAAGGUACUUUUAUUGGAAGAUGUAAAGCGGUUCAAUGUAAUAGGCUUAACUUCUGUCAACUAAGUUGGCGUGGGUGCUUUAAGAGGGUGGUAGUGAUGUUGCUGGAGAAAGUAUCCCACAGUCACUGGUGGCUUCAGCCACGGGCCAUUUUGGGGCCUAAUAAUCACAUAUCAUCAUGGUUGCUAGUGUUAAUCGAAAACCUACUAAGUGCCAGGCUUACUGUCUCUGGGUCUUGCUUACGUGGAUGUCAUUUUUCCAGUUGCACCAAAUCGAAAGAGGUUAAUUGGUUUGUUGGAGUUCCUUUGUAGGUGAAGGGCAGAGCCAGGAGCUUGGCUAGGGACAGGGGAGGUGAGUGGGGGAUGGUGGAUAGGUCUUGGCUCCCAGUUUCCUUCUGGGCAGACAUUGCCCCUCUGCCCUGAGGACCUGCUUGUUUGGGGGAAGAGGCCUUUAGAGGCACCAGGGUCAUGCCAGGUGUUGGACAUGGUGAACUGGGAAGUGCUCCCAUCUGGCCACAGCGCAGAAGUAUCACCGUGCUGGGGGAUGGGGAACAGGGCUGUGAAUGGGCCUAUUUGCAUAAGCAGCAUGUGUCUGGAGAGAAAGACAUCACAGAGCAGAAGAGUGCGGGUGCCCAGGAGUGCACUUGCCACCCCUACUUCAUCCCUGAAAGAGUAAAUGGCCUGGAAGGUGUCUCUGAGAGGUAAUGCCGCACACCACCCUCCCUGGGGGCAGGGUCAGGCUACACCUGCCUUAGGUCGGGGGCUGCAGCAGCCUGAGAGCUCUCAGUAGGGCCUCAGUAGCCUGGGAGGGAGCAGGGGCAGGGGGCAGGGAAAGAGGCGUAAUGGGGCUGUCCAGAGGGGCCUGGGAAACCUGGUCCCUGAGGCCUGGGCACAGCUACAAUCACUUCAAAUUGGCUGUGGGGCCAGUGGACUGGGAAGGAAAAAAGCAAUAAGAGUGACCAAGUGCAGAAGGCUGUCAGGUCCCAGGUCACAUGCCUUAGUGCAGUGACUCCUCAUCAUUUUAUGGGGUGUGGGUGUCGUUGGUACACCCAUUUUACAGAUGAGGACACCGAGGCCCAGAAAAGUUAAGUUACAUGUCCUAAGUCACACAGCUUGUAAGUGCCAGAACUGAGAUCAAAACCAAGUCUCUUUGACUUUAAAGUCUGUACUCUGACCCCAAAGAGAUCCUGUUUGGCCACUUAUAGGAGGUCCCUAAAGCUGCAGACUCCCCUUGCCGGCACCCACAUAUAGAGACAUUAACCCUUCCCCUGCAGGGUCACCUCAAAUAGUCUUUUAGCUGGGCUUCUCCUGCAAUUCCACCUAAUGCCAUCCCCUGGGUUUUGCCCAAACCUGAACUGGGCAGUGGGGUGAGAGGAGGGGUUUACAGGGUUACAGAGCCUCAUACAGAUAGGAGCCCAUGGCUGCUGGUCAUCUGCAUUCCUGCAGGAUUGGCUGUUCCUUGGGGUCCUUGGCAGGAAAAUGAGGAUUGCUCCGAGGCCUGCUCCAGUACUUCCCAGAGGCUGGCCUGGUGUGGGGCUCUGGGAAGGCUGAGGCUGGAGAAGCGUAAGUAGGAGGGCAGAGAUGGCACUCAGGUAGCUUGAAUCACCAGGACCCUUCCAAGCCCCACAGGUUCUGAGGGAGUACUAGGGCCAGCUCUGGGAGAGGUCUCUUCCUAUGCUGUGAACCCCCUGCCUUUCUUGCAGCCUACAACGAAUAAAUUUUCUUUGCAA